rnacentral:rRNA from 1 species
GACGAACGCUGGCGGCGUGCCUAAUACAUGCAAGUAGGACGCAGUUGCGAACGGGUGAGUAACGCGUAGGUAACCGCCUAUUAGAGGGGGGGAACAAUUGGAAACGAUAGCUAAUACCGCAUACUAGUAGAUGGACGUGCGUUGUAUUAGCUAGUAGGUAGGGUAAUGGCCUACCUAGGCAACGAUACAUAGACGACCUGGGAUGGUGGACCGGCACACGUGGGCUGAGACACGGGCCAGGAGCCUUCGGGAGGGUGCAGUUGGGAAUCUUCCGCAAUUGGAGGAACCCUGGCCGAGCAACGCCGCGUUAAUUAAGAAAGUUUUCCGAACCGAAAGCUCUUUUUUUAAGGACGCGGUACUUAACCAGAAAGGGACGGCUAACUACGUGCCAGCAGCCGCGGUAAUUC